UACGGAGGGUGCAAGCGUUAUCCGGAUUUACUGGGUUUAAAGGGUGUGUAGGCGGACUUUUAAGUCAGCGGUGAAAUCUCCGGGCUCAACCCGGAAACUGCCAUUGAUACUAUUUGUCUUGAAUGUUGUUGAGGUGGGCGGAACGGGUCAUGUAGCGGUGAAAUGCAUAGAUAUGACCCGGAACACCGAUAGCGAAGGCAGCUUGCUGGGACGGUACUGACGCUGAGACGCGAAAGCGUGGGGAGCAAACAGG
rnacentral:rRNA from 1 species